rnacentral:piRNA from 1 species
UUAGUUAAAAAAUUGUAAUUA